rnacentral:lncRNA from 1 species
ACUGGGAAUCAGCUUGCAAAUGAUGUCUUCAUAUUGUGGGAGUGUCGCUCUUAUUGCCUCUAAGUCCCACUCAUUAGUCCCCGGUUUAAUGAGUUGACUCACUCGCCAAGAAUGGUUAGAGAUCGUCGGGGGGCCAAUCGGCGUCAAAGGCUCGCUAGUGGACAUCCAAGGCUCAGACCAAACACUCACAUCUGCACCUGAACCAAUCG